CCCUUAGAUGUUCUGGGCCGCACGCGCGCUACACUGACGAAGUCAGCGAGCAUGUCCUACGCCGACAGGUGCGGGGAAUCUUGUCAAACUUCGUCGUGAUGGGGAUUGAUUAUUGAAAUUCUUGAUCAUCAACGAGGAAUUCCUAGUAAGCGCAAGUCAGCAGCUUGCGUUGAUUACGUCCCUGCCCUUUGUACACACCGCCCGUCGCUACUACCGAUUGAAUGGUUUAGUGAGAUCUUCGGAUUGGCGCCACUGCGGCUCAGCAAUGGUCUCGGUGGAUGCCGAAAAGUUGAUCAAACUUGAUCAUUUAGAGGAAGUAAAAGUCGUAACA
rnacentral:rRNA from 1 species